GGGGCCGACUGGUUUUGACAGCGGGUCUAAUGGUAAUGUAAGCAGGUCGAGCGCUGGGAUACAGCUCGUAAAUCUCAUAUUUCACACUUUUUUAAACGGCGAGAAUAACUACGCCCUAGCUGCAUAACCCGAAUUAUAGUACGGUAUGCCUCGUCCCGAUAAGAUCGGGAAAGCAGGAAGUCACUCGAAGGCCUUGGUUUGCGGCGUUCGGUUUAGUGGCUUCGUGAAAGUAAACCUAGCAGGUAUAGGGCUUUGAUGUAUCUGUGAAAUCUAAUUGAAGAUAAGCCGUGCGUGGGUGGUUUUUGACCAACAAUCGGACGAAAAUCUGAACAAAAACUAAGCCUGUAGAAAGCCUUAACAUUGCGCGUUUGGACGAGGGUUCGAAUCCCUCCGGCUCCAC
rnacentral:tmRNA from 1 species